rnacentral:rRNA from 1 species
AGAACGAACGCUGGCGGCAUGCCUAAUACAUGCAAGUCGAACGAAGGCUUCGGCCUUAGUGGCGCACGGGUGCGUAACGCGUGGGAAUCUGCCCCUUGGUUCGGAAUAACAGUUGGAAACGACUGCUAAUACCGGAUGAUGACGAAAGUCCAAAGAUUUAUCGCCCAGGGAUGAGCCCGCGUAGGAUUAGCUAGUUGGUGAGGUAAAGGCUCACCAAGGCGACGAUCCUUAGCUGGUCUGAGAGGAUGAUCAGCCACACUGGGACUGAGACACGGCCCAGACUCCGUACGGGAGGCAGCAGUAGGGAAUAUUGGACAAGUGGGACGAAAGCCUGAAUCC